UACGAAGGGUGCUAGCGUUGCUCGGAAUUACUGGGCGUAAAGCGCCCGUAGGCGGCUUUCUAAGUCGGAGGUGAAAUCCUGGAGCUCAACUCCAGAACUGCCUUCGAUACUGGAGAGCUUGAGUCCGGGAGAGGUGAGUGGAACUGCGAGUGUAGAGGUGAAAUUCGUAGAUAUUCGCAAGAACACCAGUGGCGAAGGCGGCUCACUGGCCCGGUACUGACGCUGAGGUGCGAAAGCGUGGGGAGCAAACAGG
rnacentral:rRNA from 1 species